GAUGAACGCUAGCGGCAGGCUUAACACAUGCAAGUCGAGGGGCAGCACGGACUUCGGUCUGGUGGCGACCGGCAAACGGGUGCGGAACACGUACGCAACAUACCCUUUACAGGGGGAUAGCCCGGAGAUAUCCGGAUUAACACCCCAUAGUGUAGCUGGGAGGCAUCUCCCUACUACUAAAAAUUUAUUGGUAAAGGAUUGGCGUGCGUCCCAUUAGAUAGUUGGCGGGGUAACGGCCCACCAAGUCAGCGAUGGGUAGCUGGUGUGAGAGCACGACCAGCCACACGGGCGCUGAGACACGGGCCCGACUCCUACGGGAGGCAGCAGUGAGGAAUAUUGGUCAAUGGGCGCAAGCCUGAACCAGCCAUGCCGCGUGGAGGAUGACAGCCUUCUGGGUUGUAAACUUCUUUUAUAUGGGAAGAAAAGCGAGGUUUCUACUUUGUCCGACGGUACCAUAUGAAUAAGCACCGGCUAACUCCGUGCCAGCAGCCGCGGCAAUACGGAGGGUGCAAGCGUUAUCCGGAUUUACUGGGUUUAAAGGGUGUGUAGGCGGAUAUUUAAGUCAGAGGUGAAAUCUCCGGGCUCAACCCGGAAACUGCCUUUGAUACUAUUUAUCUUGAAUUUCGUUGAGGUUGGCGGAAUAUAUCAUGUAGCGGUGAAAUGCAUAGAUAUGAUAUAGAACACCGAUUGCGUAGGCAGCUGGCUGAACGACGAUUGACGCUGAGGCACGAAAGCGUGGGUAGCGAACAGGAUUAGAUACCCUGGUAGUCCACGCCCUAAACGAUGAUUACUCGACAUACGCGAUACACAGUGUGUGUCUGAACGAAAGCAUUAAGUAAUCCACCUGGGAAGUACGUCCGCAAGGAUGAAACUCAAAGGAAUUGACGGGGGUCCGCACAAGCGGUGGAGUAUGUGGUUUAAUUCGAUGAUACGCGAGGAACCUUACCUGGGCUAGAAUGCUAUCUGCCCGUACCUGAAAGGGUAUUUUGUAGCAAUACACAGAUAGUAAGGUGCUGCAUGGCUGUCGUCAGCUCGUGCCGUGAGGUGUUGGGUUAAGUCCCGCAACGAGCGCAACCCCCCAUCUUCAGUUGCCAGCACGUAAUGGUGGGAACUCUGAAGAAACUGCCGUCGUAAGACGCGAGGAAGGAGGGGAUGAUGUCAAGUCAUCAUGGCCUUUAUGCCCAGGGCUACACACGUACUACAAUGGGGAGGACAAAGGGCAGCGACCUGGUAACAGGAAGCAAAUCUCAAAAACCUCUUCUCAGUUCAGAUUGAGGUCUGCAACUCGACCUCAUGAAGCUGGAAUCGCUAGUAAUCGCGCAUCAGCAAUGGCGCGGUGAAUACGUUCCCGGACCU
rnacentral:rRNA from 1 species